CUACAAACCAGGAACAUUCCCUUGAUUCAACAUGCUGGACCUGGAUUACUGGAUGGUUUAUGGGUUGAUUCUAACCAUUACAACACGUGUCGACUGUGAAGAACUGAGUCCAGUCAAGAAUGAAGAGUCCAGUUUAGAAGGAAACUCUGUUACUCUCACAUAUAAAUACUCUAAAACAGUGACAGUCAGUGAUGAGUUCUACUGGUAUCAACAAUAUCCAGGAAAACCACCUGAGUUUUUAAUCCUUCACCUUGGAACACAAAAUGCAUCAAACCAUAGAAUGUUUGUGGAAGCACAUGGAGAAAAGGUCCAAGUGAAAAUCUCCUCUGCUGCAGUGUCAGACUCUGCUGUGUACUACUGUGCUGUGAGGCCCACAGUGACAGGAAACAGCAAAACUCUGAACAAAAACCUCUGGAGUAAAGACAACACAGUACUACACAACAUCCACUAGAGGGCGACAUCAUCAGGUCGGUGCUGCGUGACUUGUGCACUGUGUUCAACCAUUCAGUCAAUAAUAACUGCUGCUGUGCAGAGAACAGUUCUCACACUGAAUGUUGAACAUCAGCCACUUUGUCCUGUUGAUUUC